UGGAACCGCAGUGUCGACUCUUGGAAUUCAACCUGCCGUACGGGACGAUGCUGGGAUAAUUGCGGAGCUUCCAAAGCCCGUUUCUCGGCGUCGAUCUCCGGUCGGUGUGGUGCAUUUUCUUUGAGUCGAGAGCCACGACCGGCUCUUUGGCGGCCACAAAGCCUGGCUGGGAAAGCUGACCUCCGGAAAUUAAAAGCUGGCGGAGUGUAUAGCCCAGCUUGCGUUGGCUCGUCGAAGGGCCGAGGAAAACAAAGCUUUGCCGCGACUCGUCGCUCUCGGACCAUCUGCGCUCGUCACGACUGGGGUGUACUGCUAGCCAGUGCUCUCCCGACCGCGAGCGUGGAAGGGUUCGUUCGGCGUGAGUUGCUUCGGGCCCGUGGCGAAUCGGUCGGUAACCCACCCGACC
rnacentral:rRNA from 1 species